GACGAACGCUGGCGGCGUGCCUAAUACAUGCAAGUCGAGCGAAGUGGAGAGAGCUUGCUCUCAAAACUUAGCGGCGAACGGGUGAGUAACACGUGGGCAACCUGCCUGACAGACUGGGAUAACUUGGGGAAACUCAAGCUAAUACCGGAUAGGAUCGCGAACCGCAUGGAUUUCGAUGGAAAGUCUGAACGACACUGUCAGGUGGGCCCGCGGCGCAUUAGCUAGUGGGUGGGGUAAUGGCCUACCAAGGCGACGAUGCGUAGCCGACCUGAGAGGGUGACCGGCCACACUGGGACUGAGACACGGCCCAGACUCCUACGGGAGGCAGCAGUAGGGAAUCUUCCACAAUGGGCGAAAGCCUGAUGGAGCAACGCCGCGUGAGUGAUGAAGGUUUUCGGAUCGUAAAACUCUGUUGUUAGGGAAGAACACCCGGGAGAGGAUCCCGGUUUGACGGUACCUAACGAGGAAGCCCCGGCUAACUACGUGCCAGCCGCCGCCGUAAGAC
rnacentral:rRNA from 1 species